rnacentral:rRNA from 1 species
UACGGAGGGUGCAAGCGUUAUCCGGAUUCACUGGGUUUAAAGGGUGCGUAGGUGGGGUCUGUAAGUCAGUGGUGAAAUCUCCAAGCUUAACUUGGAAACUGCCGUGGAUACUAUCAAUCUUGAAUAUCGUGGAGGUAAGCGGAAUAUGUCAUGUAGCGGUGAAAUGCUUAGAUAUGACAUAGAACACCAAUUGCGUAGGCAGCUUACUACACGAUCAUUGACGCUGAUGCACGAAAGCGUGGGGAGCAAACAGGG